rnacentral:rRNA from 1 species
AGUCACUGACAUUAGAUACCCGGGUAGUCCAGGGUGUAAACGCUGUAGACUUGGUGUUGGAAGCCCUUUGGGGGCAUUCAGUGCCGGAGAGAAGUUGUUAAGUCUGCUACUUGGGGAGUACGUCCGCAAGGAUGAAACUUAAAGGAAUUGGCGGGGGAGCACCGCAACGGGAGGAGCGUGCGGUUUAAUUGGAUUCAACACCGUAAACUCACCAGGGAAGACUGUUACAUGAAGGCCGAGAUGAAGACUCUGCCAGAUUUUCAG